rnacentral:tRNA from 1 species
ACCUGGGUAGCUCAAUUGGUUAAGCGUCUGGCUUCAGCUCAGAUCAUGAUCUCAUGGUUCGUGGGUUUGAGCCCCGCUUCAGGCU